GAUGAAGAACGUAGCGAAAUGCGAUAAGUAAUGUGAAUUGCAGAAUUCAGUGAAUCAUCGAAUCUUUGAACGCACAUUGCGCCCGCUAGUAUUCUAGCGGGCAUGCCUGUUCGAGCGUCAUUUCAACCAUCAAGCCCCAGGCUUGUGUUGGAGCCCUGCGACCGUCCGCAGCCUCCUAAAAUCAGUGGCGGGCUCGCUAUCACACCGAGUGCAGUAGUUUACUCUUCGCUCAGGACGUGUAGCGGGUUCCGGCCGUGAAACCCCCCACUGUAACCCCAAAGGUUGACCUCGGAUCAGGUAGGAAUACCCGCUGAACUUAAGCAUAUCAAUAAGCGGAGGA
rnacentral:misc_RNA from 1 species